UACAGAGGGGGUAAGCGUUGUUCGGAAUUACUGGGCGUAAAGGGCGCGUAGGCGGCCUCUUAAGUCGAACGUGAAAUCCCCGGGCUCAACCCGGGAACUGCGUCCGAUACUGGGGGGCUUGAAUCCGGGAGAGGGAUGUGGAAUUCCAGGUGUAGCGGUGAAAUGCGUAGAUAUCGGAAGGAACAUCAGUGGCGAAAGCGACUUCCUGGACCAAUACUGACGCUCAUGUGCGAAAGCGUGGGGAGCAAACAGG
rnacentral:rRNA from 1 species